GACGAACGCUGGCGGCGUGCUUAACACAUGCAAGUCGAACGGAAAGGCCCUGCUUUUGUGGGGUGCUCGAGUGGUGAACGGGUGAGUAACACGUGAGUAACCUGCCCUUGACUUUGGGAUAGCUUCAGGAAACUGGGGCUAAUACCGGAUAGGAGCUCCUGCUGCAUGGUGGGGGUUGGAAAGUUUCGGCGGUUGGGGAUGGACUCGCGGCUUAUCAGCUUGUUGGUGGGGUAGUGGCUUACCAAGGCUUUGACGGGUAGCCGGCCUGAGAGGGUGACCGGCCACAUUGGGACUGAGAUACGGCCCAGACUCCUACGGGAGGCAGCAGUGGGGAAUAUUGCACAAUGGGCGGAAGCCUGAUGCAGCAACGCCGCGUGCGGGAUGACGGCCUUCGGGUUGUAAACCGCUUUCGCCUGUGACGAAGCGUGAGUGACGGUAAUGGGUAAAGAAGCACCGGCUAACUACGUG
rnacentral:rRNA from 1 species